rnacentral:rRNA from 1 species
GACGAACGCUGGCGGCGUGCUUAACACAUGCAAGUCGAACGGAAAGGCCCUGCUUUUGUGGGGUGCUCGAGUGGCGAACGGGUGAGUAACACGUGAGUAACCUGCCCUUGACUUUGGGAUAACUUCAGGAAACUGCGGCUAAUACCGGAUAGGAGCUCCUGCUGCAUGGUGGGGGUUGGAAAGUUUCGGCGGUUGGGGAUGGACUCGCGGCUUAUCAGCUUGUUGGUGGGGUAGUGGCUUACCAAGGCUUUGACGGGUAGCCGGCCUGGGAGGGUGACCGGCCACAUGGGGACUGAGAGACGGACCAGACUGCUACGGGAGGCAGUAGGGGGGAAUAUUGCACAAUGGGCGGAAGCCUGAUGCAGCAGCGCCGCGUGCGGGAUGACGGCCUUCGGGUUGUAAACCGCUUUCGCCGGUGACGAAGCGUGAGUGACGGUAAUGGGUAAAGAAGCACCGGCUAACUACGUG